GGAGGUUGUGGUGUAGAGAAACACGCCGUACUGCAAUCGCGGAGAUGUGGGUGCGAGUCCCGCCUUCCUCCU
rnacentral:tRNA from 1 species